AUAUGUCUAUGACAUGAAUGAAGAGAGAAUGGGAUCAAGAUGAAGAGGGAGGGGAAAAUGAAAUCAACAUAAAUUGGUCAAAGGAGGACUUUUACCAAAUUAAAAUCAUUCAUUCAUUUUGGGAGAUGAAAUGUACAUUUCAUCAAUCCCCUAAAUUCAAUGAUUUUAAAUUAACAAAGUCCAAUCAACCUUGACCAAGACCCAACAAUAUAAGUCAAACUCAACAAGUC
rnacentral:lncRNA from 1 species